rnacentral:sRNA from 1 species
AUGACGAUUCAACAGAUCACUGAUGAUGGCAUCAUGAUGAUGCAUGAUGAAUUCAAUAAAGAACUGUAAUACAAAAUUUAAAGAAUUUGUUUAUGAAAUUGUCAGGCUGCGAUCUGUCUUUUUGUCUGAUGGUCAUAUUUGGAUUAAAAAAAUACUGAAGAAAAGUUGAAGAUUUUUGAAAAUUACAGAGUGCCUUAAUUGAAGUCCCCAGAGCAUGGCUAAAAUGAGAAAAGUAUGUGACGUCACACAGCGUGUCAAGAAGAAACGGAACACCAUGAAACUCAAAAAUAAUUACUAUGGGAGCGUUCAAACG